rnacentral:rRNA from 1 species
GAGUUUGAACCUGGCUCAGGAUGAACGCUGGCGGCGUGCCUAACACAUGCAAGUCGAGCGAAGCACUUUAAUUCGAUUCUUCGGAUGAAGAUUUUUGUGACUGAGCGGCGGACGGGUGAGUAACGCGUGGGCAACCUGCCUUACACAGGGGGAUAACAGUUAGAAAUGACUGCUAAUACCGCAUAAGACCGCAGUACCGCAUGGUACAGCGGUAAAAACUCCGGUGGUGUAAGAUGGGCCCGCGUCUGAUUAGGUAGUUGGCGGGGUAACGGCCCACCAAGCCGACGAUCAGUAGCCGACCUGAGAGGGUGACCGGCCACAUUGGGCCUGAGACACGGCCCAGACUCCUACGGGAGGCAGCAGUGGGGAAUAUUGCACAAUGGGGGAAACCCUGAUGCAGCGACGCCGCGUGAGCGAUGAAGUAUUUCGGUAUGUAAAGCUCUAUCAGCAGGGAAGAAAAUGACGGUACCUGACUAAGAAGCCCCGGCUAACUACGUGCCAGCAGCCGCGGUAAUACGUAGGGGGCAAGCGUUAUCCGGAUUUACUGGGUGUAAAGGGAGCGUAGACGGCUGUGCAAGCCAGAUGUGAAAGCCCGGGGCUCAACCCCGGGACUGCAUUUGGAACUGCGUGGCUUGAGUGUCGGAGAGGCAGGCGGAAUUCCUAGUGUAGCGGUGAAAUGCGUAGAUAUUAGGAGGAACACCAGUGGCGAAGGCGGCCUGCUGGACGAUGAC